GACAAAAGUAUCGAAUCGAUUCCAUCGAACGAAUUGCAACAGCUGCUCUUUUCAUCGAUUUCGAACGUCUUCUCCUUGCGUUCUUCCCUCGUAUCUAAUCCCGUUUGUUAAGACUAACGUAAGUCAAAGAAGCUCGAGCCUACGGAGAGGAUGUCGACACCGAUGACCACCACGGUCACUGCAGCCUCGGUGACCAGUAUUGGGCCGCCAUGUCUGGUGCUGGUUGGCCUGGCACUGCGAUUGGUACGCUGACACCUGGCGAUAUCAAACCUGCAAAUCAAUUUCAAGUUUAUUGUAAGAAUUAUCCUCUUUUGGCAUAUCGUGAAAACGAAAGUGAGUGGGAAGUGUUCGCAAAAAAGUUAUCGUGAAGUGAAAAAGUGAGGUUAUGAUGAAGUAUCAUAUCUGGAAGAUGAAUUUCGAUAUUUAUUCGAUCGAUAUCCUGCUUUGAACAUUACAAGAAGAGAGUGAAAUAUGGACAAUAAACCAACCAAUUAAAAAGAAAAGCCUUGCAAGCCACAGUGCAAGAAAAAAGAAUACCCAUCAUCGAUUAUUUAAAAAAAGAAAGCCAAAUUCCAUCGAAAGAGGAGAGAGGAACAGUGUGAACGACCGUUGCGAACGAAGAAGAAGAAAGAAGAGGGCCUUGGGUGAUAAUAUAAUCCAUUACCGGGAAGCUGGAUAGCGUGUUAUCCGUGGUAGUCCGUCGGCUAAAGUGCAAGCAGCG